CUCACAUUCUUCGAGCAGAUGACGCGACAUGAUCACAAGCUUGGACAUCGGAGUACAGGUUUCCUCGAAUAUAUAGCGGUGAUGUUUACAGCUUGUGGCAGCAUAUUCACGUGAAGUACAGAACAUGAAGGAGUGGUGAUUCCAACUGAUGUACCCAUACAAAAGAGGCCAAGGCACAAGCACAGACCUUGUAUACAGAUGAAGAUCUCCUGUGAUUAUUUCUUUCUCCUCCUCAUCUGAUAACU